rnacentral:rRNA from 1 species
AAGACCUUGCGCUUUUGGAGCGGCCGAUGCCUGAUUAGCUUGUUGGUAAGGUAAAAGCUUACCAAGGCUUCGAUCAGUAGCUGGUCUGAGAGGACGACCAGCCACACUGGGACUGAGACACGGCCCAGACUCCUACGGGAGGCAGCAGUGGGGAAUUUUGGACAAUGGGGGCAACCCUGAUCCAGCCAUGCCGCGUGAGUGAAGAAGGCCUUCGGGUUGUAAAGCUCUUUCAGCCGGAACGAAACGGUUACGGUUAAUACCCGUGACUACUGACGGUACCGGAAGAAGGAGCACCGGCUAACUACGUGCCAGCAGCCGCGGUAAUACGUAGGGUGCGAGCGUUAAUCGGAAUUACUGGGCGUAAAGCGUGCGCAGGUGGUUUUGUAAGUCAGAUGUGAAAGCCCCGGGCUCAACCUGGGAACU